rnacentral:sRNA from 1 species
UGUUUUUUGUUUUUUUCCUGAAAAAUGGAAGUAGUAGAAGUAUAAACUGCACACAAUUAUGUGGUAUUUAAGUGAUUAUUUUAUACACAUAAAGUAGAAUAGUGUUCUCUUCCCUCCUCUUCCCACCACACAUCCCUGCCCAGCAUCUAGAAGACCACCUGAAGCUUUCACAUUAUGAGACCUUAGAUCCUGCGAGGGUUUGAAUUUCAAAAGCCUCAAUUAAAGCACACAGUAGGUCAUAAAUUGGUGUUUGACUGUUGUUAUUUCCGUUUAGUUUUACUCUCUCUUGCAGUAAAACAGGUAGAAUUACCGUAUCCCACUCUAAGGGGUAGUUGAGGCCCCUGGAGAAGUCUGAAGAAAGGAGACCUCCAGAGUUGAUGCCAUCUCUUCCUCCUCUCCAGGUGUUCUUUACUUUAUGAAUGAAACCAGAGCAGCCCACCUUCCUGCAUCUCUACCACCAUGGCACCAUGCCCUGUGAAGGGUGAGCUGGAGUCAAAUACGUAGCAGGCAGCCAGGGUCAGUUUGUGGCCACUGCUGCCUCCUCUUCCUAUGGUCUCCUCACUGAGUGCCCCUUCCCUGUUGGGUUCAACAUGUCUAUGCUCCUGUAAGCCCUCAGCCUCCUCGUUCUCUUCCUCAACUUCUACCACCAGACACACCUGAGAGGCAAGCAAGAGAGGCUAAACUAGGAGCAGGACCCAGGGACUGAAACCAGCACAGCAUCCCCACAGAGAAUUGGGUGGAAGGCAGCAUGGCUUCCAGCUUACUGGUGCCGAGCAGAUUCCCCUGGGUCUCCAUUGUAUCCUCUGAAGGAAGGAGGAGGAUUGCCUUCUGUCCAGAUCUCAGGAUCAAACAAAUAGGUCCAACUUCCUGUGCUCACUUCAGUUAGAGCACUUCUCAUGUGACUUUGUAGCUUUGUGUGCAUCUCCUUCCUCUACUAGACCUAAGCCCCUCACUGGAAGGACUCUCUUAUUCUUGAUGUUCCCCACAUCUGGAAUUUCAAUAAACAUCUCAAUAAACGUGUGUGCUUGGAUCCUU